UUGUCCUUCUGGCCGCCUGGUGAAGAAGGUGCCUUUUUUCCCCUUUGCCUUCCACCAUGAUUGCAAGUUUCAUGAGGCCUCCCCAGCCAUGCUGAACUGGACAACACCUGCCAUGGUGAGCUAACGUCAUGCAGAGGCAGAGAACUGCUGCGUCCUGCAGACGGCUGAUCCAAAGUGACAGACAGCUAACGGAGCUGUGCAGCACACACGCUCAAAAACAGAGGCUUCUCAGGGAGGAAGGGCAUGAAGGAGGUAGAAAGGAGAAUGAAACAUCUGGCAAUGUCUGGAGACACUCUUGGCAUCUAGUGGGUGGAGGCCAGGAUGCUGCUAAACAUCCUCCAAUGCACAGGACAGACUCCACGACAAACAGUCAUUCAGCCUGAAAUGUCAGUAGUUCAAGGGGGAAAAACGCUGCACCAGGAUGAUGUUCGGGACCUGGCACUUGCAAACCCUUCACAUGUAGGGCUAGGUUCACAGUUGUGCCUACCCCUGGAGGCAUAUUAGCAGCUCUGGGAACUUAAAACAACAACAACAACAACAACGUUUAGGGCCCUUUCCAGACCA
ensembl:lncRNA novel transcript